GACGAACGCUGGCGGCGUGCCUAAUACAUGCAAGUCGAGCGGACCAAAGGGAGCUUGCUCCUGGAGGUUAGCGGCGAACGGGUGAGUAACACGUGGGCAACCUGCCUGUAAGACUGGGAUAACAUCGAGAAAUCGGUGCUAAUACCGGAUAAUAAAAGAACUGCAUGGUUCUUUUUGAAAGAUGGUUUCGGCUAUCACUUACAGAUGGGCCCGCGGCGCAUUAGCUAGUUGGUGAGGUAACGGCUCACCAAGGCAACGAUGCGUAGCCGACCUGAGAGGGUGAUCGGCCACACUGGGACUGAGACACGGCCCAGACUCCUACGGGAGGCAGCAGUAGGGAAUCUUCCGCAAUGGACGAAAGUCUGACGGAGCAACGCCGCGUGAGUGAUGAAGGUUUUCGGAUCGUAAAACUCUGUUGUUAGGGAAGAACAAGUGCCGUUCGAAAGGGCGGCACCUUGACGGUACCUAACGAGAAAGCCACGGCUAACUACGUGCCAGCAGCCGCGGUAAAGU
rnacentral:rRNA from 1 species